GUAGUGUUCACUGGUCCAUCUCCUCUGCCUCCUUCCCAUUUUCCCCCAUAGCCCCACUCGUCUAACCCCCUCCUCUCCUUUUUCUUCUCCAUCUUCCCUCAGCAACAGCCACACCCCGGUGCUUCAGCUCCGCACACACAUCCACUGCAGACAGAGAGCUUCCCCCUUUGCAUCAAAUCACUCAAAGCCCUUUAGCAAUGACCUGACAUCACACCUUUAUACCUAUAUGUGCGUGUGUCCGUAUUUACAGGAGCUGCGUUGUGUUUUCUUUAUUUUUGUGUUUUUACACUACAAAGAUGUUGCACAGAUUCUACAUCAUCGCACACUGAAGCCACAUAAUCCGCCUUGCGCGCAGAGUUCUGCAUUUACGGUAGCUUCAUUUGCAACGGGGAGGGGCCACAGGGCCCCCAUACCGCUCUCAUUGUCACCACAGCUCUCUUCCCAUCCAAGGGCAUUAGUACCGCUCAGCAGCCUGAACCUCCAGAGAAGACGCCUCAGCUCGUCGCUUUCCAAUCUCAUUGAUUACCGACGACAGCUUUUCAACUUAGACACAACAGGUGACCCUUCCCCUCCCCGGUUUCCCAGCAGGCAGGCAUGGCAGACGGUCAGCAGCCAGAGGAGCACUGGGCCUCCAACGGCCAGGAGAAUGGCGAGAAUGGCUACUCCGCUUACAGCUCGGCCUAUAGAGAGAAUGGAUACCACGGGGGUGGGGCGACUGCGCAUCCUGGGACGUCAGUGGAUGACUCAGCCAAUUUGCCUCCCUCCCCUCCCCCCUCUCCAUCCGCUGAGCAGAUUGGGCCUGUGGCACAAGGUGUGGAGCACCAUCAGCCCCUCAGUGUGGCCCACCAGUCCAGGGAGAGGACCACUGAGAGAGCGUACCGGAGCCCCGAGAAGAAGUCGUCCCUCCCCAGGCCGGCCAAGUCUCUGA
rnacentral:lncRNA from 1 species